AACGUAGGUCACAAGCGUUGUCCGGAAUUACUGGGUGUAAAGGGAGCGCAGGCGGGAAGACAAGUUGGAAGUGAAAUCUAUGGGCUCAACCCAUAAACUGCUUUCAAAACUGUUUUUCUUGAGUAGUGCAGAGGUAGGCGGAAUUCCCGGUGUAGCGGUGGAAUGCGUAGAUAUCGGGAGGAACACCAGUGGCGAAGGCGGCCUACUGGGCACCAACUGACGCUGAGGCUCGAAAGUGUGGGUAGCAAACAGGAUUAGAAACCCCGGUAGUGCUGACUGACU
rnacentral:rRNA from 1 species